ensembl:lncRNA
CACAUGCAUGCAUGCACGCACGCACAGACCAAGGUAGAUGCAAACAUGCAUGCACCGGCACACACAUAUGGAAAGGAGCUAUUCUGUUCCGAUGCGUCGCUAAAUCUAAUGAAAGGCCUUCUAGAAUCGCACCAAGGAACGAGCCGUUGGCUCCCUCUAGUGGCGAAAGUCAUGAACCGACGAAUGACGGAGCAGAAGCAGGAUUCCCUCCAGAAAUGUCGAAUUUAUUAAAGGAACAACUAAAUAACUAACGGAACAAUUAUCAACUUUAAACGAAGAUCAGUUUGUUGGUCAAAUAAAAUAAACAACCUAAUCAUGGAUACUUUGGUGUGUGAUUGUAUGUUGACACUGAUUUCCACCAAUAGGUUUUUUCAGAUGGACAAAAUACAAGAGAGUACUUCUUUUUCCAUUUCUAAUAUUGUUGUCAUGUUUACAAAGCAUAAGAAAGCUGAAUCAGUCAACAAAAAACUAACAACAAAUGUACAUUUGUAGCCUAAUAUCAGAAAUUAAAGUAAAUAAAAGCUAGCAAACAACUAAUAAUCACAGUGUACAACACAUGUAUGAAUUGCUUUGCAUAAGGGUUGCAUAAUACGUUCACUCAAGAAAAUAAAGCUCAUGUGUUUCUGAAUAAACAACAUACUAAUCUCAGAAUUCUGAGAUAAAGUUUUAGGGAUCUGCUAUUUAUUUCGGAAAUUUCAAAAUUAACUUAAAUAAAAAUUUAGGCUACAGAAAAUUAUCGCAGAUUUCGGAGAUAAUUAUGUUGUUAAAGGAGAAUCCGGUUUUGGGAUAUGUUUGGUAUGCUAACAAGUUGGAACGUUCAUCUUGUUUUUAAGACUCGAUAGGUAGAUUGACGAACACAGAGAUUGUGACAUCCGUCAGCAACACGCAAGCCUGUGUUCGCCAUGGACAUGUGUUCGCCAAUCUACUUAUCGAGUCUUGAAAACAAGAUGGCGUCGACGGGUGAACUACUGAUGUUAUUAUCUGUGUUCGAAAUCGUUCCCUAUCAUGGAUGUAGUCCACUAAAUAGGGUGCACGCCAUUUUGUAGGGUGUUCGAAUUCUCAGUGGUCCACUAUAUAGGGCACUAUAUAGUGGACUUAAAAUAGGGUACAUACGAUGUUCCCUACAUGUUACUCCCGUAUACCACAAUGCAAUGCGGUCGUGUUUUUCCGGAGGAGAAGAAGAAGCUGAAUAACCGCGAAAACGAAUACAUUUAAUGAUGGAGUCUCCGGCUUUCGUUUAGAAAUGUCAACAAUUUAUUUGGGAUUUAACAUAGAAUAUUUAACAUUCAAAAUGAAUAAAAAAAAUACUUGAACAAGGAAAUGUAACAUUCAACAUCAAUACAACCUCCAGCUUUCCUCGUGACUGCCUGGUAUGUUUACCUGAUGUGGGCGCAUCUGUCUGCGUCACACAAAUACCCGGCGCAUUUACUGACGCAAAUGACGUUUAGAAAUGUUCAGCGUAGUGUCCGAAUUCUCGUUCCCUAUUCCCUAUAUAGUGCAGUGGUGCACUAAAUCAUGUACACUAUAUAGGGAAUAGGGAACAAGUGUAAAGGGAACGAUUUCGAACACAGCUAAUGUGUGUAUAAAAUGUCGUUUUAAUAAACAAUUUGUGCACUUACAAAGUUAUCAACGCCUCAUUUUAUAUGUUAAGACCCUUAUUAUACUACUAAAGAAGUGUCGGGCUACUUGUAGCCUUUUAAGUGGUUCAAAGUAGCGAUUUCGUUUUUACCAUAACAAAUGCCCCCAUCGUUCGAAGUUUUUAGGGUUUUGGUAGAAUCGGCUAAAAACAGCCAAUUUAAGAAUGCGUCUAUAAGCGCAUUUUUGCUCCCAAGCGAACAUUCCAACUCGUUAUCAUACUAAACAUAUCCCAGAUCCAUUUUACACCGGAUUUGUCCUUUAAUUUAGAAAAGCAAGAGCAGAAUUUAAUUUCUCCAGUGAAUGCAUUAGGCUUCAUAUAAACCUCCCUUCCCUCAUGUAACCAUCAGUAGAUAGGGGCUGGGGUGAGGGUGAGGUUGAACCCACAGUAGUAAUGACAGAGUGAAUCAGCUGGCUCAGUGCAGGGGGGAGCAGGACUUGUGUUUUCUGAAAACCCGGAAAAAAUCGGGAUCGAAUAUACAUGGUGAACUCCAACGCUCUCAUAUCUUACAUCUUCUGUUUUCUGAUCACUUCAUAAUCAUCUCGUCGUGUACAAAAAUGACAAUAAAAACAAAUCAUAAUCUUUUAUCCAGGAGUGAGGAGCCGUCGCCGACCGUCCUUACGUCCAUCCACUGAUUCCAUCGGCCAAGAGGAAACCUUCUCCUCCUUCCUUCCAUUAUCUUGAUCCUGUGGCUGCUGUAAUAAAUGAUAAAUAUAAAACAGCCUUUCAGCAGUUCACUUAGUGCCCCUGGUGGCCGUUCUAUGUUGCCUAUAGCGCAAUAAUAUUUCAGAGGAAGAGUUUUUUUAAUUUUGUGAAUGAACAGCAGGGGGCAGUGUCUCAGUUGUCCAGAGCUACUGGUCUCAGUGGUCUAGAGCUAAUGGUCUCAGUGGUCCAGACCUACUGGUCUCAGUGGUCCAGUACUGGUCUCAGUGGUCCAGUACUGGUCUCAGUGGUCCAGUACUGGUCACAGUGGUCCAGUCCCUACUGGUCCAGUCCUACUGGUCUCAGUGGUACAGUCCAUACUGGUCUCAGGGGUCCACUACUGGUCUCAGUGGUCCAGUGCUGGACUCAGUGUUCCAGAGCUACUGGUCUCAGUGGUCCAGCCCUACUGGUCUCAGUGGUCCAACCCUACUGGUCUCAGUGGUCCAGUACUGGUCACAGUGGUCCAGUACUGGUCACAGUGGUCCAGUCCCUACUGGUCCAGUCCUACUGGUCUCAGUGGUCCAGUCCCUACUGGUCUCAGUGGUCCAAUACUGGUCUCAGUGGUCCAGUGCUGGACUCAGUGUUCCAGAGCUACUGGUCUCAGUGGUCCAGCCCUACUGGUCUUAGUGGUUGGGAGGGGUAAAACUUGGAAAAUCAGUUUUAUUCAAAACUAUGAAAGCAUGAAAGGCAUGCAAUGCAUUAUUUUCUUUUUGCCAACGCACUUAUUCAAAUAGUCACCAGCCUCCUCCAAUAAUGCUUACUCAUAAACAAUAUGCUUUAAUUUAGACUAAAUACGAUGAAUUCCCUUACGUCCCUUAAAUGUGUUUUGCCUGAGAAUGAGGAGCGGGACAAGCGUCAGAUAAAUCUCCUCGAGCCCGUAAACACUUCUGAGAAACAACAUUCUGGAGGUCUGACUCAAUCCCCGGUUCAGAUUUUGAUUACAGUAGGAAAGGUAGACAGAGGACAAUGCUCCGCGCUGGAAAGAGUACACGCUCGCACAGACACACACACACCCCCACCCACGCACACACUUCACACACACACACACACACACACACACACACACACACACACACACACACACACACACACACACACACACACACACACACACACACACACACACACACACACACACGCAGUGUCUGGUCCACAGUGACAUUUGCUGGCCACACAAUGGUCAGUCCAAAAUAAUCUGUGUUUAUAUGAGGAAGUUGCUAUCUUUCAACUCCUGCUGGUCUUUGAAGGGUGGGGGGGGACGAAUCACAGGAAACACCUUCCCUCGGCCACCGAGCCAGAAGCCAAUCACAGACUGGCACACAAUGAGAGCUAAAAUACCCGUUACGUGGCGAGCUACGAUUGUAGAGGAGACAGCGCAGGCAAGGAGUUAGAGAAAUGAAACCCAAGAGCUGGGGUUAAAUGAAGUUAACCAAGCAUUCUACCAAUUUUACUCCAAUAAUUGUUUGGUGAACCAAACAAUGCUGUUUAGUUAACCCAAUAAUUGUCAGUCACUUGUUUCUAUGAACAUCCCAACAGCGAUAUAUUGUUGUUUCUCUUUCUUCUGAGAAAUGUACUUAAUGUCAGUCGCUUCGGACAAAGCGUCUGAUAAACGCCCUCAAUGUAAAUCUAAAUAAUCCCAAAAAUAAAAAAUCGACAUAUAAUCUUCAAUACAUUUCAGAUAACACCUUACCCGUGUUAGACAGUGAUUCACUAUGUGUGUGAUGAUUAUGGGUAUGAUAAUGAUUAUUAUUAAUAAUGUUGUGGUGUCCUCUAGACCACGACCCCUCUUACUCUUGGCAGUUGGACCGGUCCGAGCUCAGGGAGAGUCACUGCUGAUGGAACGUACCAUUCUCUCCGGCCCCGGAUGCUCGGACCCCCAGCAGCAUGACGCCGUCCUUCGUGCUUUCAGGGCGGCUUUGGAAAGACGCGCUGUGAGUGGACGUCAGGAGGCCAUUUUGAAUUACAUGAUAAACACACACACACACACACACACACACACACACACACACACACACACACACACACACACACACACACACACACACACACACACACACACACACAGAGCCUGUACUCACUUCUCUGUGCCGUUGUCGAUGGUGUCUGUGGGAGAGACAAAGCGUUAGGUCAGCAGGGUAAACAGCAACAUAGGUCAGUAGGGUAAACAACAACAACAACAUAGGUCAGUAAGGUAAACAACAACAUAGGUCAGUAGGGUAAACAACAACAUAGGUCAGUAAGGUAAACAUCUACAUAGGUCAGUAGGGUAAACAGCAACAACAACAUAGGUCAGUAGGGUAAACAACAACAUAGGUCAGCACUAAUGACGUUCGUAGGAUUGUAACUAUCCAUUGACACGGUGCUGAAAUGGGCUCCGUAGGAGGGGGAGACGCAGGAAUGUCGCAGGAAAAUGGGGUUACAAAGCGUUAA